rnacentral:rRNA from 1 species
CCUAUGANCUCAAACAGGCGGGACUACCCGGCUGAACUAA